rnacentral:misc_RNA from 1 species
GAUGAAGAACGCAGCGAAAUGCGAUAAGUAAUGUGAAUUGCAGAAUUCAGUGAAUCAUCGAAUCUUUGAACGCACAUUGCGCUCGCCAGUAUUCUGGCGAGCAUGCCUGUUCGAGCGUCAUUUCAACCAUCAAGCUCUGCUUGCGUUGGGGAUCCGCGUCUGACGCGGUCCCUCAAAAACAGUGGCGGGCUCGCUAGUCACACCGAGCGUAGUAACUCUACAUCGCUAUGGUCGUGCGGCGGGUUCUUGCCGUAAAACCCCCAAUUUCUAAGGUUGACCUCGGAUCAGGUAGGAAUACCCGCUGAACUUAAGCAUAUCAAUAAGCGGAGGA